rnacentral:rRNA from 1 species
AGACGGCGACCGGCGCACGGGUGAGUAACACGUAUCCAACCUGCCGAUAACUCGGGGAUAGCCUUUCGAAAGAAAGAUUAAUACCCGAUGGUAUAAUCAGACCGCAUGGUUUGAUUAUUAAAGAAUUUCGGUUAUCGAUGGGGAUGCGUUCCAUUAGGCAGUUGGUGAGGUAACGGCUCACCAAACCUUCGAUGGAUAGGGGUUCUGAGAGGAAGGUCCCCCACAUUGGAACUGAGACACGGUCCAA